rnacentral:rRNA from 1 species
AACGCGUGAGCAACCUGCCCUUCAGUGGGGAAUAACGUCUGGAAACGGACGCUAAUACCGCAUAACACAACGAAGCCGCAUGACUUUGUUGUCAAAGGAUUUAUUCGCUGAAGGAUGGGCUCGCGUCCGAUUAGCUAGAUGGUGGGGUAAAGGCUCACCAUGGCGACGAUCGGUAGCCGAACUGAGAGGUUGAUCGGCCGCAUUGGGACUGAGACACGGCCCAG